rnacentral:rRNA from 1 species
UUCUAUGGCCAUACCACUCUGAACAUGCCUGAUCUUGUCUGAUCUCAGAAGCUAAGCAGGGUCAGGUCUGGUUAGUACUUGGAUGGGAGACCACCUGGGAGUACCGGAUGCUGUUGGCU